AAGUCGUAACAAGGUUUCCGUAGGUGAACCUGCGGAAGGAUCAUUAUGAAUUUUGACGGGGGUCUUUUUAAUGAGAGACCUCUUCAUUUUUCUGUGAACUGGUAUUGUUUGUUCCGAGUAGGCCCGUCCAUUAUUGGGUGGGUUGAAAAGAUGAACGAUAUGUUUUUGUUAUCUUAUAUUUAUUCCAUUUUGUUUAUUUCGUAAAUCUUUCUUUUUUUUUCAUUUUGGAAAAAAAAAAAAGACUUUUUGAAAUAAAACAAUAAACCAAGACAACUUUCAGCAAUGGAUCUCUUGGCUCUU
rnacentral:misc_RNA from 1 species